rnacentral:rRNA from 1 species
GAACGCUGGCGGCGUAGCUUAACACGAUGCAAGUCGAACGGAGUUUUAACGGAAGUUUCGGAUGGAAGUUUAGAAACUUAGUGGCGGAACGGGUGAGUAACGCGUGGGUAACCUGCCUCAGUACAGGGGGAUAACAGUUAGAAAUGACUGCUAACACCGCAUAAUAUAGCGAAACCGCAUGAUUUUUGCUAUCAAAUAGUUUAUAGGUAUGAGAUGGGCCCGCGUCUGAUUAGCUAGUUGGUGGGGUAAAGGCCUACCAAGGCGACGAUCAGUAGCCGGCUUGAGAGAGUGACCGGCCACAUUGGGACUGAGACACGGCCCAAACUCCUACGGGAGGCAGCAGUGGGGAAUAUUGGACAAUGGGGGAAACCCUGAUCCAGCGACGCCCGCGUGAGUGAAGAAGUAUUUCGGUAUGUAAAGCUCUAUCAGCAGGGAAGAUAAUGACAGUACCUGACUAAGAAGCCCCGGCUAACUACGUGCCAGCAGCAGC